UACAGAGGUCUCAAGCGUUGUUCGGAAUUACUGGGCGUAAAGGGUGCGCAGGCCGCGCGGGCAGUCAAAUGUGUAAUUCAGGGGCUCAACCCCUGGACUGCGCUUGAUACUUCCGCGCUUGAACCUUGGAGAGGAGUCUGGAAUUCCUGGUGUAGCGGUGAAAUGCGCAGAUAUCAGGAGGAACACCGGUGGCGAAGGCGGGUCUCUGGGCCGUAACUGACGCUGAGGAGCGAAAGCAUGGGGAGCGAACAGG
rnacentral:rRNA from 1 species